CAUUUCUUGAUUUCAUGUGUAGGAUGGUGGGUGUGGAUGUAAAGGUUUGUGUAAAACCAAACAGUGCCGUUGUGUUAAAAAUGGGAAUGGCUGUUCCGAUAAUUGUUCGUGUGUCCCCGCAAAAUGUGUCAAUCGUCAAAGUUCAAAAGAUAAUGAAAAUGUGGUCACGUCACAGUUAAACACAACUGUCGUCCUAGAUUCAACAACCGACUCCGUUGCCACACCUAACUUGCUCGAGUCAUCUGGCAACACCACCGUGUCCGAAAAUAUAAACCAUAAGAUUCUCUCAAAUUUGGACAGCAACACAACAUUCAGCUCGUCCGAUAACGAGAAUGAUGUUCGUAAACGCCCUCUGAAAGGAAGUGAUGACUCCAUGGAAAGAGAAAAUUCCGACCCAGAGGUCGCCGGUGUGAAAAAGAAACGCAAGUUGUUAAACAAUCAAGGGAAAGCUUUCUUUAAGCCAUUGGUAAAUUUCUGACUGGCUGGUUCUAAGUAUCCCAUAACUCUCUCAAAUAGAUACUUGUUUUUACAUCAAAACUAGUGUUUUUUCCCGAAUGUAUUCAAAUUUUGUAACCAUCUAAUUCAUUCGAUUAAAACCUAAGAUGAAAAAUAUUUUCUUUAAAUAGGAGUUAAAGGGAUACUAUAAAAGUUGUAUUCCAUAUACAGUACUAUAAAUAAUUUGAAUUGUAUAAUGUUGUUUAAUCGUAGAUGGA